UAGUCCACGCCGUAAACGAUGGAUACUAGAUGUUGGGAGACUUGUCCUUCCAGUGUCGUAGCUAACGCGUUAAGUAUCCCGCCUGGGGAGUACGGCCGCAAGGUUAAAACUCAAAGAAAUUGACGGGGGCCCGCACAAGCGGUGGAGUAUGUGGUUUAAUUCGAUGCAACGCGAAGAACCUUACCUAGGCUUGACACCCCAUGCAAUCCGGUGAAAGUCGGAGUUCCUUCGGGACAUGGUGACAGGUGCUGCAUGGCUGUCGUCAGCUCGUGUCGUGAGAUGUUGGGUUAAGUCCCGCAACGAGCGCAACCCUUGCCGUUAGUUGCCAGCAUUAAGUUGGGCACUCUAACGGGACCGCUUGCCGAUAAGGCAGAGGAAGGUGGGGAUGACGUCAAGUCCGCAUGGCCCUUACGCCUAGGGCUACACACGUACUACCAAUGGCAGGUACAAAGCGCCGCAAGACCGCGAGGUUUAGCAAAUCGCAAAAAACCUGUACUCAGUUCGGAUUGGAGUCUGCAACUCGACU
rnacentral:rRNA from 1 species